GAGUGAGCGAAGCAUGGCAAUCAGCGAGCUGACAGCUAUGUGAAGGCUGCCGGUGGCCCUCUGGAUGAGUCACACCAAGCUGGACAAUGGCUCGCCCCCUGCAAGCUGCAGUCGCAUUCAAUGCUUCUUUCUAUUUUUAAAGGUUCCUCUAAUGUAUACCAGUCUCUAGCUUCUGGAUCCUCCUUGGCUCCGGUCGCUGGCCGCCCCUCCUUCAGCCGAUCCUCCGCAUGAAGCCUCUCCUUCGGCUCGCCGGGAACUGUAAUCAGCCAAUAGAGAGUGUACGGGACCAGGCGCCUCCUUAUCCGCUAGCCGCGCCUCUGAUCCCCUCUCGUCCAGAUGCGCUUCUGGAGCUCUCCCCGGCGGACGCUCUCUGCAGCUCCCGGGGUCUUCACUCAGCGGCGGCUCCCCUCUUCCGGGCUUCUUUACCAGGGUAAGUCUAUUCCUCUCCCUCGGGCGCCGCUAUGUUUACAGCACAGCUCUUUAGAUGCAGCGCCGAGGAGAGAGAGAAGUAGACCCCUCCGUGGCUCACUCUAGACUGUCAAUCGCCUCUAACUCCCCCUUUUUAUACACAGGGGAUCAGUCCUCGAGCCCCCCAACUUUCCCGCUCUCUCCUCGAGGCUCCCCUCACUAAAGACAGUCUCGUGCACAUAAGGCCGUGUGCAAAGAUCACCCAUAGUCUCGAGCUCAAUCUAAUGCACAUCUAUUCAUUACCUUUCUAUGGAAUAAUAAACACCCUUUUUUUAUUUACUAUAUGGAUAAUUGGAUCACUACCUACCUCUAAAAUAUAUUACAUAUAUAUUCUAUUAAAACAAUCCUAUAUAUUAUACUCACAUAGUGCUUACAUCAAAUAUAUUAACCUUACUAUACCAUAUAGUCAUUUUCUAUAGGUUACAUAAUGCAUUCUGCUUUUGAAAACACCAGACCUCCAGAUUACAUUUGUCUUGGGGUAGGCUGGGAAAGUUGGAGCGCAUCUGAUCUCAUGGUCUCCCUGUGUGGCUCUCCUUUAGCUCCCCGAUCCAGCACUAACACCCUGGUACAUUUUUCUACAGCCAAAGAAUUCUCAGUUCUAAACCCUCUGACUUCUCACCAUGGACAGAUUAACUAAACUACUGUAUAAAUCUGGAUUAAGGCAUAUGUAGGCUUCAGGAUAACUAACUUGUGGGGGCUGCUACCAGUAAAACCGUUAUCAUGAUGU